AACGAACGCUGGCGGCAUGCCUAACACAUGCAAGUCGAACGAGACCUUCGGGUCUAGUGGCGCACGGGUGCGUAACGCGUGGGAAUCUGCCCUAGGGUGCGGAAUAACUCGGAGAAAUCCGUGCUAAUACCGCAUAAUGUCUUCGAACCAAAGAUUUAUCGCCCUGGGAUGAGCCCGCGUAGGAUUAGCUAGUUGGUGGGGUAAAGGCCUACCAAGGCGACGAUCCUUAGCUGGUCUGAGAGGAUGAUCAGCCACACUGGGACUGAGACACGGCCCAGACUCCUACGGGAGGCAGCAGUGGGGAAUAUUGGACAAUGGGCGAAAGCCUGAUCCAGCAAUGCCGCGUGAGUGAUGAAGGCCCUAGGGUUGUAAAGCUCUUUUACCCGGGAUGAUAAUGACAGUACCGGGAGAAUAAGCUCCGGCUAACUCCGUGCCAGCCGCCGCCGUAAUAC
rnacentral:rRNA from 1 species